rnacentral:rRNA from 1 species
AACCCCCAGCAGCGGAUCUCUCGGCUCCGGCAUCGAUGAAGAACGCGGCAAAAUGCGAUACGUAAUGUGAAUUGCAGGACCCAGCGAGCCAUCGAGUUUUUGAACGCACAUUGCGCCCGCCGGUAUCCCGGCGGGCCUGCCCGUCCGAGCGUUGUCC